rnacentral:lncRNA from 1 species
AGCAGUGUUUUUCCAACCACCAUUCAUCGGCACUUCUUGUUUUAGCUGUUUUUCUCAACACUACUUCCAGAGCCUAAAAUAAUGCAUGACUCAGAACAAGUUCCCUGUAUUUGUAGAAUGAAUGAGUAAAGGUCAAUGGUGAAGUUCUGGCAUAGCUUAGUUAUGUAGCAGUCUGUCUCCCAAGAGUAUAAGCAUUUAAUUCAGGGGCUGUGUUUAAUGGCUGGCAAGUCAUAUCUGAGGAUAAGGAGGGCUUCACUUAUUGAGUUUGCUAGAUAUGAUGUUGAGUACCUGAGUGAAGACAACACUCAUUUCCAAAAUUUGUUUUGAGAACAUUUUAAAUCAAGGAUGAAUAUACUAGCUGAAGGUACGUUGCAAGGGUCAGCAUGCACGUCUUUUCUUC